CAGCCGCCACGGGAAUACGAAGGGGGCUAGCGUUGUUCGGAUUUACUGGGCGUAAAGCGCACGUAGGCGGACUUUUAAGUCAGGGGUGAAAUCCCGGGGCUCAACCCCGGAACUGCCUUUGAUACUGGAAGUCUUGAGUAUGGUAGAGGUGAGUGGAAUUCCGAGUGUAGAGGUGAAAUUCGUAGAUAUUCGGAGGAACACCAGUGGCGAAGGCGGCUCACUGGACCAUUACUGACGCUGAGGUGCGAAAGCGUGGGGAGCAAACAGGAUUAGAGACCCCCGUAGUCCCUGUCUCUUAUAC
rnacentral:rRNA from 1 species